CUAUUCUGUGGUUGUUCUGCAGUAUUUAAUUUCAUUAUUCUUAGGUAUCAAGAAAUAUUAGUGGGUGAUUAUGAGGUUGACAGCCUUGAGAGGUUGGUAUUACCAUCUGCUAUAGAGAAGGAAAGGAGGAAGUGUAUUUUUGAACAUUAUAGGGACACCACACUCUCAGCCUUGUUUCUGGAGCUAAUGGUUAGAGUAUUUUAGUAAGUUACGUAGGAUGAUAAAGAUAAUUGAAGAACCACUCCAGUCUGGUUUAUAUGAUGUCCUCCCUACUACUAUUGGAAGGUUUGGUUCCUGAGGAUUUGAGACUUUUGCUCUGUGGGUGUCAGCAGGUUGAACUUGAUGCACUCAAAAAGAACAUUCACUAACGAGACUUAUGAGGCACCAGUCCCAGGUCCUUCAAGGUGUCAUACUGUAGGGAUCACUCUACUCUCCUCUCUCUUUCUCGCCUCUUUUCAGAACAGUUAUCUUCAUCAAAAAAGUAAACACAAGAAGCACCGCAGAAGAGCCAGUGAGGAAGAGACUGACCAUCAUAAGACUCACUCAACUAAAAGAAGUACACUCACACACUAUAGUACAAAAUGUUUCUUGAAUGGGGGAGACUAGGCCUUGAUGAUGAACUGAGGACUUUAGUAGUGGACAGUUAUCUUUAUUGUUAUUAUUAUAAAUUUUUUGAA